UAAUACGUAGGGAGCAAGCGUUGUCCGGAAUCAUUGGGCGUAAAGCGCGCGUAGGCGGCCUCAUAAGUCCGUUGUGAAAGUCAAAGGCUCAACCUUUGAAAGCCGAUGGAUACUGUGAGGCUAGAGUCCGGAAGAGGCGAGUGGAAUUCCUGGUGUAGCGGUGGAAUGCGCAGAUAUCAGGAGGAACACCAAUAGCGAAGGCAGCUCGCUGGGACGGUACUGACGC
rnacentral:rRNA from 1 species